rnacentral:lncRNA from 10 species
AGAUUAGGUGCCUUAAGCAACAGAAAUUUAUUUCCUCACAGUUCUGGACGCUGGAAGUCCGACAACAAGAUAUUGGAAAGACAACAUCUGAAAAUUCUGCCUGAUAGAUAGAGAGAAGCAUCCUGGCAAGAGACACGGAGCUGACAGACGAAGAGAUGCACGUCUGACAGAAUUGGGACUAUUCACCCAAAGUGAGACAAAGUGAAAUGCCAAGCACAUUGAGAAUCUCUUCCUUCUUACUGUCAACGGAUUCACCUAAUCAAAGCACUUUUAGUCACUGCAUCCAAUUUCCAUCCUCAUCCAACACAUGGUGGGGUCUUUUUCUCGUUUCUUCUGAGUUGACACACACAAAACCCAAGAGUCCCACUUUUGGCGAGGAACGUGUUGCUGUCAGCUUGCAUUUGUUACCGCACAUUGGUUCCCCGUGUCCCAGUAAUGACCCCCUGUAAAGGCCACUGGGCAAGAGAAUUGCAAGAUCGAGCGAGGCGGCGGGAAUUACAGGAAAGGAUUAACGGCAGAACAGCCUGUUGCGACAGCGAAAAACAGCCCGAGGACAGGGGCGUGCUCCCAUCUGACAGGCGGAAGUGUGCCAGGGUUUAUGUAUUAGGUCACAGCAAGAAAGCUAUUUUUGCUGUGCCCUCUGACCUUCUGUAGAAGGUCUGGGAAUUCAGCCAAAAAUUCCUGAAGGAUGAAUUCCUUUUCCUCGGUGAGGUUGACAUUUGAGCACACAUCGCCCUCUUGUGUCUACGACACAUUUGGCAACGUAGUUUCCAGCACCUGCUAAUGCACACAGCAAAUUGAAGCCUUGUUAACAUCCCUUAAGCCUGCAGACCUCGGUACAAGGCGGAGGGAGAACAAACGCACCAAUUUUCCCAGAAUAGUCAAGAACAUCCAGAAGAAUCCAGAAUUUGUGAAGAUGGUGGACCUUACCUUCCGAAAACUGCUAUCAGGGCCUCUGCAGGAGGCCCUGGCUGUGAUAAAUGUGCAUCUGUAGAGUGCACAACCUGAACAUCCUUACCAAGCAGCCCUGACCAAUAUCUUCCUGCCUAAAGAGUGCCAAUGCUGAGAGUAUGCCUUUAAAACCCCAUUUUGGCCAUUUCUCAAGAAGUAAGUGAGACUUGUACUUCCCUAUCUCCCCUUAAGGGGAGUCCCCAGUGCAUUAGUGGUAGAGCUCUCCCUAAGGACUUUUGUGUGCGUCUCCACCCUCUGUUCUUCUAGGUGCAUCCUGUUUUUAAUGGGGCAUAAUCUCUUACCUCAAAAGAGCAAAGCUCCACUGGCAAACCUCUAGACCACAUUAGUGAUCAGCAAGUAAGGGGGACAUUUGGUGCAGCAUCACAUUUCUGACAUCCCUUCAUGCUUUUUAUGUCUGACUCUGUCAUCUCUGCUAAAAGAAGCCUCUCUUUUUAUUUCCUUUUUUUCUUCUAGUUUUUUUUUUUGUUUUUUUUUUUUUUUUGUAGACAGGGCCUAGUGGUCUUCCUAGGCUGGUCUCAAACUUCUGGACUCAAGGGAUAUUCCCACCUCAGCCUCCCAAACUGUUGGGAUUACAGGCGUGAGCCAU